AUUGAACGCUGGCGGCAGGCCUAACACAUGCAAGUCGAGCGAGCGGCGGACGGGUGAGUAAUGUAUGGGGACUGCCCGAUAGAGGGGGAUAACUACUGGAAAAGGUGGCUAAUACCGCAUACUAUCCGAUAACCCAUAUGGGAUUAGCUAGUAGGUUGGGUAAAGGCUCACCAAGGCGACGAUCAUUAGCUGGUCUGAGAGGAUGAUCGGCCACACUGGGACUGAGACACGGCCCAGACUCCUACGGAGGCAGCAGUGGGGAAUCUUGCGCAAUGGGCGAAAGCCUGAUAGAGCAAUGCCGCGUGUAUGAAGAAGGCUUUAGGGUUGUAAAGUACUUUCGGCGGGGAGGCGUUACCCAAAGAGAAAGCACCGGCUAACUCCGUGCCAGCAGCCGCGGUAAUAC
rnacentral:rRNA from 1 species